GUCAUUUCAGAGAUACCUAUCCUUGAACUAUACCCUGGUAAGAGUGGGCAUCUAUUCUUUAUGACAGGAGUCACUAUCAAUAUAAUUUAGGCCUGCAGAGAGAUGUUUUCUGAGAGAAACCAAUAGGACUAUUAACCAGAAGCUAAAGACAGGUAUCACUAUCACCAGAUGUUAUCUAUGGAAGACACAUGUAGAGACUCUGCCUGGGAGAAAAUGCUGAUUGAAAAUUCUCUCUGUCCAUGUGUGAGUGAUUUUAUACAUUUGACUCCCUCUUAUGAUAGAUUUUUCUUAGAAGAAAGAAUAGACCCCAAAAGAUUAAUAUGAAGACUGAGGAGGCUUCACGAGCAUGUCAGGUGAUUUAUGGCAGGCUUGAAUUGGAGCUUAAUCAGAGUGUUACCAGUAGAGGGUGUCCAGGUUCUUGGCAUCUUGAACAAAGAAUUGGACAAAACGCACAAACGAAGCAAGGAAGAAAUGAAGGGAUUGAAAAUUAAAGUACACUCCACAAUGUGGGAGCAAGCCUGAGCAUAGGGGCUCAAGGGCCCCGUUACAGAAUUUGUAGGGGUUUAAAUACCUUCUAUGGGUUUCCAUUGGUUACUUGGUAUAUGCCCUAUGUAAAAGAGAGGAUGAAGUAAAGUUACUUAUAUUUGGUGUAUGCCCUAUGGAGAGGCUAUUUCCCGUCAUAGCUGAAGUGUGAAUCGGCUUUAUGUUCCCUUCCCCCAGACCCUAUUUUCCUGCCUCAUUUUCUCUCUGAGAGACGUGAUCCCCAUAAAUCUUUAUAAGAGGCAGAGGGACCCACAGUCUUUCUUCUAUAACUGCUUCAUGCUGGCUUGAGAUGUAGCUCCCAGCGACUGAGUAUCACAGUACUCACCCUGCUCUGUCUAGUGGGGACAGGGUUUCCUUGAUGGUCAGGGGUGGUGUCUUUCACCUGGAACUGGCUGGAACCCUUGUCACAUGAUCAUCUGAAGCUUGAUGGUCUCUAGGCAAGAGGAAAUGAAUUUCGUUAAAAGAUUUAAUGGGAACUUCAAGGAGUGGAUACCUGUGCUGUCAAGAAUGUUUGUUAUAGAGAUUUGUAUGAGAAAAACAAAACCUGGUUUGUGUUGUGUUCUAGGAUCUAUGUGUUACCUUAAAGUCUUAGCACAAGCAACUCCAUUAUAGUUUGGUUUGGUCUGUUGGAGCCUAGUGCAUGAGCUCAGUCCAAAACAAUGGCCUUCCAUAACUUUGUUUUAAAAAAUCCCCCUUUUUGGUCAGGUUCUCACUUAGGUGAGAGGGUAACCAAAACUUAGGGCCUUAAUAACACUCUCAGUUACCAUCAUUUUGGGUUUCAGUCUUAGCACAUCAUUCAUAGGUUAUGGUGUCCUCAUGGUUGCUCAUUUCUUUCAGCUCUUGUUAUUUCAAUUGAAGAGAGACCGUAUGACACUCUAGAGAUGGCUGCAUGCAAACAUUCAAAACCUUUGAGAGAAUACAGCAUGCCAGGAAGACUAUUAUUACGACUAAUGGGAAGAUAAUACCAAGAAUUUGGAGUAUACUCCUUACCCAAGGUCCCCAUAAACUGAACUUCCUAAAAUCAAAUAGAUCAAAGAAUGAGCUAGAUAAACAGUUUACUACUUAACUAAGCAGUCCCUUUGCAAAUUCUCUACCACUGAAUUUCUAUAAUCUUCAUUUGAUGUAUUUUUCCAUAGGCCACAAGUAUUAGCAGCUGCACAGAUAAUUUUCUGUUCAGCAAAUUCUAUUAUAACUUUCACAAGACAAUUUAAAGUCUUUGUGUAACUGUAGCCUUUACAGUAAAAUUUGAGCCUAUCAUGAGGUGUACAUUUCUAAUCAUUGCUUUUUCACUUUAAACCAAGGAAAAAGGACCUAACAAAUGAUGCUCUUCUGGAAGAGUGAAGGCCUACUGGCAAUGUUCUCUUUAACCCAUGAUGUGGGCUAAGAGGAGUGAACCAAUAAAUAAAAUAAUAAAAUAAUCCAAAUUGAAUACA
rnacentral:lncRNA from 10 species